ACCUAUUAAUAGGUAUGCUUAGGGAGGAGCUUGCGUCACAUUAGUUAGUUGGUGGGGUAAAGGCCUACCAAGACUAUGAUGUGUAGCCGGGCUGAGAGGUUGAACGGCCACAUUGGGACUGAGACACGGCCCAAACUCCUACGGGAGGCAGCAGUAGGGAAUUUUCGGCAAUGGAGGAAACUCUGACCGAGCAACGCCGCGUGAACGAUGAAGUAUUUCGGUACGUAAAGUUCUUUUAUUAGGGAAGAAUAAAUGAUGGAAAAAUCAUUCUGACGGUACCUAAUGAAUAAGCCCCGGCUAACUAUGUGCCAGCAGCCGCGGUAAUACAUAGGGGGCAAGCGUUAUCCGGAAUUAUUGGGCGUAAAGGGUGCGUAGGCUGUUAAAUAAGUUUAUGGUCUAAGUGCAAUGCUCAACAUUGUGAUGCUAUAAAAACUGUUUAGCUAGAGUAAGAUAGAGGCAAGUGGAAUUCCAUGUGUAGUGGUAAAAUGCGUAAAUAUAUGGAGGAACACCAGUAGCGAAGGCGGCUUGCUGGGUCUUUACUGACGCUGAGGCACGAAAGCGUGGGGAGCAAACAGGAUUAGAUACCCUGGUAGUCCACGCCGUAAACGAUGAGUACUAAACGUUGGGUAAAACCAGUGUUGAAGUUAACACAUUAAGUACUCCGCCUGAGUAGUACGUACGCAAGUAUGAAACUUAAAGGAAUUGACGGGACUCCGCACAAGCGGUGGAUCAUGUUGUUUAAUUCGAAGGUACCCGAAAAACCUCACCAGGUCUUGACAUGCUUCUGCAAAGCUGUAGAAACACAGUGGAGGUUAUCAGUUGCACAGGUGGUGCAUGGUUGUCGUCAGCUCGUGUCGUGAGAUGUUGGGUUAAGUCCCGCAACGAGCGCAACCCUUAUUGUUAGUUGCCAGCACGUAAUGGUGGGGACUUUAGCAAGACUGCCAGUGAUAAAUUGGAGGAAGGUGGGGACGACGUCAAAUCAUCAUGCCCCUUAUGACCUGGGCUACAAACGUGAUACAAUGGCUGUUACAAAGGGUAGCUGAAACGCAAGUUUUUGGCGAAUCUCAAAAAAACAGUCUCAGUUCGGAUUGAAGUCUGCAACUCGACUUCAUGAAGUUGGAAUCGCUAGUAAUCGCGAAUCAGC
rnacentral:rRNA from 1 species